rnacentral:rRNA from 1 species
UACAGAGGUCUCAAGCGUUGUUCGGAUUCAUUGGGCGUAAAGGGUGCGUAGGCGGCGCGGUAAGUCGGGUGUGAAAUCUUGGAGCUUAACUCCGAAACUGCAUUCGAUACUGGCGUGCUUGAGGACUGGAGAGGAGACUGGAAUUCAUGGUGUAGCAGUGAAAUGCGUAGAGAUCAUGAGGAAGACCAGUGGCGAAGGCGAGUCUCUGGACAGUUCCUGACACUGAGACACGAAGGCCAGGGGAGCAAACGGG